CUCUGGUUUAUGGAUUUCUGUUGAAUUGGUACUCACUAUUAGCCAGAUUGUUGCAUCGAUUGUUGUUUUGUCUGUGUCAAGGAAUGAGCAUCCACGAGCUCCAUUGUUUGAAUGGAUUGUUGGUUAUGCAUCUGGAUGUGUUGCAACCCUUCCUCUUCUUUAUUGGCGUUACCGACAACGCAGCCAGGUUUUGGGGCAAGAUUCAGCUCAACCUCGUCAAGGUUCUACGCAUAUUAGUGUUCCAGCAGGAC
rnacentral:misc_RNA from 1 species